CGCGGCCCGAGUGGUGGUUCGAUAUUAUUGAGCCUAAAACGUUCGUAGCCGGUCUUGUAAAUCCUUGGGUAAAUCGCCAGCUUAACUGUCCGAAGUCCGGGGAGACUGCAAGACUUGGGAUCGGGAGAGGUCAGAGGUACUUCUGGGGUAGGGGUAAAAUCCUGUAAUCCUAGAAGGACCACCGGUGGCGAAGGCGUCUGACUAGAACGAAUUCGACGGUGAGGAACGAAGCCCUGGGGCGCAAACGG
rnacentral:rRNA from 1 species